GCUUAUUUUGCGCAGCUUAGGUGGGAGGCUAUGAACCUUUUCUUCUGGGAAGAGGGGAGCCAUCAGUGAGAUACCACUCUUGGUAAGCUAGAGCGCCCAGUCUUCACCGUCAUCCGGUAAGACGACAGUUUCAGGCGGGCAGUUUGACUGGGGCAGUCACCUCCCAAAAGGUAAUGGAGGUGUGCAAAGGUUCCCUCAGGCAGGACGGAAAUCAGCCAUAGAGUGUAAAAGCAUAAGGGAGCUUGACUGCGAGACUGACAUGUCAAGCAGAGACGAAAGUCGGCUUUAGUGAUCCGACGGUGCUGUGUGGAAAGGCCGUCGCUCAACGGAUAAAAGUUACUCUAGGGAUAAC
rnacentral:rRNA from 1 species